AUCUUUUUUAUAGAUUUAUGAAACAUUUGACCUAUUUUUUAAUAAUUGCUUAUAAAAGUUUUAUUCUUGCUUAUGUGUUUGUUUGUUGAAUAGUUUACAUGAAAAUUUUUGUAGGGAAUAAUUAUAUCUAGAAGAUAAAUUUAUUAUUCUCAGUAUUUAAUAUUAAUAAUCAAAGAAAUUUGGAAUUAGUAAUUUAAUAUAAAAUUGGCUAAAAUUGUGCCAGCCGCCGCGGUUAGACUUAGGAUUUAAGUAAGUAGUAUUGGUAUGGAAGUUAACAAUUAUAGUAAGAAAUAUAUAAUUUCUUUUUGAGGGUGGAAUUUUUAGAAAGAAUAUAAGAUUUUUAUAAAGUGAGGCUUUGAAAUUUAAAUAAUAAACUAGGAUUAGAUACCCUAUUAUUUUAAAUGUAAAUAUUUUAUACCGGGGUAGUAAUAGUUAAGGGCUUGAAACCCAAAGAAUUUGGCGGUGUUUUAGUCUUUUCAGAGGAAUCUGCCCUGUAAUAGAUAAUACACGUUAUAUGUAACUUAGUUUUGUAGAUCAGUUUGUAUACCUCCGUCGUAAGAUUAUCUUUUUAGAGGUUAAAUUUUCAAUAUUUCUUAUAAGGAAAUUAUGUCAGGUCAAGGUGCAGCUUAUAAUUAAGUAAGAGGUGGAUUACAAUAAAGGUAUUUAUAUGGAUAUUGUAUUGAAAUAUAUAAUGGAAGGUGGAUUUGAAAGUAAUGUUGUUAAAUUAUGAUAACAUGAUUAUAGCUCUAGAACAUGUACACAUCGCCCGUCGCUCUCAUUAUUAAGGUGAGAUAAGUCGUAACAAAGUAGAUGUACUGGAAAGUGUAUCUAGAAUGU
rnacentral:ncRNA from 1 species